rnacentral:rRNA from 1 species
GGAGUUAGCCGGUGCUUCUUCUGUGAGUGAUGUCCUUCCUGCCGGCUAUUAACCCGCAGGCCUUCUUCCUCACUGAAAGUGCUUUACAACCCGAAGGCCUUCUUCACACACGCGGCAUGGCUGGAUCAGGGUUGCCCCCAUUGUCCAAUAUUCCCCACUGCUGCCUCCCGUAGGAGUCUGGGCCGUGUCUCAGUCCCAGUGUGGCUGAUCAUCCUCUCAGACCAGCUACGGAUCGUCGCCUUGGUGAGCCGUUACCUCACCAACCAGCUAAUCCGACAUAGGCUCAUCCGAUAGCGCGAGGCCCGAAGGUCCCCCGCUUUCCCCCGUAGGGCGUAUGCGGUAUUAGCCUGGGUUUCCCCAGGUUAUCCCCCACUACCGGGCAGAUUCCUAUGCAUUACUCACCCGUCCGCCGCUCGCCACCAGGGAGCAAGCUCCCCGUGCUGCCGCUCGACUUGCAUGUGUUAGGCCUGCCGCCAGCGUUCAAUCUAAGCCAGGAUCAAACUCUGA